GUCUUAGAGAGAGACUUGAUUAUUAUGGUCCAUGUCAUUCAGGGGAUCCCACUCAACCUACCUACAAUGAUGUUCUCUUAUAUGAGGGAGGCAGCACAGAGAGUGAAAGCCUACCUACCCUAUGGCAUGACAUAAUUACUUUAGUUUUUUGAGAGUUUGAAAUGUCUCUUGAUAGGAAGACUGCAAGAUCCUUGAUACACUCUGACAUCUACAAUGAGCGAUCGCUUCACUAGAUGGGUUACCACAAGUU
rnacentral:lncRNA from 1 species